GGCCUGAUGGCGUAAUGGCUAACGCAUUGCUUUCCGGUGGCAAAGACUCUGGGUUCGAGUCCCAGUUGGGUCG
rnacentral:tRNA from 1 species